UCCCACGUGGUCCAGUGGCCAGGACUCCACACUCCCAAUGCAGAGGGCCAGGGUUCAAUCCUUGGUGGGGGAA
rnacentral:tRNA from 1 species